rnacentral:rRNA from 1 species
UGACGGUACCACAAGAGGAAGCCCCGGCUAACUACGUGCCAGCAGCCGCGGUAAUACGUAGGGAGCAAGCGUUGUCCGGAUUUACUGGGUGUAAAGGGCGCGCAGGCGGGUUGGCAAGUCAGAGGUGAAAUCCUACAGCUUAACUGUAGAACUGCCCUUGAUACUGCUAAUCUUGAGUAUGGAAGAGAGAGACGGAAUUCCAGGUGUAGUGGUGAAAUACGUAGAUAUCUGGAAGAACACCAGUUGCGAAGGCGGUCUCUUGGUCCAAUACUGACGCUGAGGCGCGAAAGCGUGGGGAGCAAACAGGAUUAGAUACCCUGGUAGUCCACGCC